rnacentral:misc_RNA from 1 species
CAUUCGUGUCCGGGGGCCGUUGGGGAUCGCCGACCGCCCUCUGGGCGGGCGUCGUCCCCUAAACCUAGUGGCAGCCUCGCCGCGGCCUCCCCUGCGUAGUAAACACUCUCGCAGGCGGAACCACAGCGAAGGGUCGCCGUAAAACCCCCAACUUCUUAAUGGUUGACCUCAGAUCAGGUAGGAAUACCCGCUGAACUUAA